rnacentral:rRNA from 1 species
AACGGCCAUACCAUGUUGAAUAUACCGGUUCUCGUUAGAUCACCGAAGUCAAGGAUCAUUGGGCGCGGUCAGUACUUGGGUGGGUGACCACCUGGGAACACCGCGUGUCGU